UGAUGAGAGGGCGAUGUGGCUGCGACAUCUAUCAUCCCAUUGUUGACUGAUCUGGCUGGCUAGGUGGGUGUCCCCUUCCUCCCUCAUAGCUCCAUGUGCAUCCCUCCCAAAGCUGCACGCUUGGUCGAAGAGGAAGGCCUUCCCCUUCUUUGGAGUGGUCUUCGGUAGAGGGUAUGCGAGUAGCUGUGCUCCCCUGUUAAGAACCUCCAAGCAAGCUCUCAAAAGUCUGUAAGUGUAAAAAAUAACAGAUUUACCUCAUAUGCUAUAGCUUUAAUUAUAAGCAUA
rnacentral:snRNA from 1 species